rnacentral:lncRNA from 1 species
CUGGUGGUUCGUGCGGACCUGGAGCGCGCACGCAUGUCGCUGGUGCUGGCCACCGACCUGCAUGUCACGUACCUGGUUACGCCGAUAAAGGAGGACCUGCGGGUGGACUGGCAAAUGUGAGGUACCGUCUCCGUUGGAGCCCGCUUUCAGGGUUUAGGGAGGAGAGAUCUGGAAAUGAGGCGGUGACGGAUGGGUGGUAGUUGGUCUUAGGGUUCUGCUGGUGACUUUAUUCUCGCGCCGAUCGUCACCUUGGGCUGUCUCCUUUCUCUCUCGCCCCCUCGGGGGGGGGGGUAGGGGGGUCCCGCUGCCUCACGGCCAUCCCGCUGUCCUGUUUCUCUCACUGCUACUACCGCAGCUACUUCGACUGGUUUGAGAAGCUGUCUCGAGUGGAUGCCCGAGUAGCGGAGCUGGUGGGGGUGGUGCCCGCCUACCUGGUCAAGUUGCGACAGGUAGGGGGGGGCAGCUGGGCGGGGGGCGGGGCUCGGGGGGUACUCCCACGUAGCUUGUGGGAUCUGCUGCUGCUGCUGCUGCUGCUGCUUCCGCGCCUCCCGGGAUGACACCCAUGCGCAUGUCCGCCUUCCUCCAACUCCCGCGACUCAUCGCCAACGGAUUUUGUCCUUGUGUGUACUGAUAUCAGCGGUGUGCUGCUCCUAUCUCCUCGAGACACACUGAUACUCUCUCACUCUCUCACAUACACACACACUGCACAUGCAUGCACGUGCGGCGUGUAGGGCCAUCGCGGCGCCCGUGUCGGUGGUGGCGGUGGUGCUGCUGAUGCGGAGAAGGAGCGCAUCGCCCGGCGCUUCUUCGCUGCCAUGGUGCUCAACGACCUUAUACAGGAAGUGCGUCUGGAUUUGGAUUUUAGGUUUGGAUUUUAGAUUUAGAUUUGGAUCUGGGUUGAGGUAGGACGUGUCCAAAUUGCUGACUAUUGACCGGAACAGAGCCAGCCAGCCCUACCGCAUGUAACCUAGCUAGCAUUGCCACAGGCUCACCCGUCGUAGUCCACGUGGCUUUGUUGGUCAUGUUGCUGUGUUCCCGCAUCCGUGUCCACCUCCACCACCUCCACCACCACCUCCGCAGGUGCCCCUGAAGGAGGUUGCGGAGAAGUACGGACUGGGCAAGGAGAAGGGCCCCCUGGAGGGGCUGCAGGAGCGAGCCGGUGGGUCGGCUGCAUGCCUGUAUUGUCUGCCUGUCGUUAUGUCUGUAGGUGCAGGUCUGACUCUGAGGAGGAGGUGGGACCUGAGAGGUCUUGACAGUCUCUUGCAGGUUACCCCUUCCCCCCUUCGGUUAUACCGCUUCCAGUUUCGAAAGACCCGUGGUUGUGACUCAAUACACACCGACACACACACACACACACACACACACACACACACACACACACGCACACACACACAUUGACACGCACACACACACACACAUCAAGACGUCCCGCAGGACAUGGUGCUUCGUCCCAUCCUUGCCUCUUUGCCCUCUGUAUGCCCUGUGCUCCUCCCUGUCGAUUGAUCGAGUCCCUUGUCCUGUCCUCUCCUGUCUUUUUUACAACCAACAAACCCCUCCCCUUGGUAUCAUCCCUUCGUCCCGGUUUUCACUGGGGCCGGGGCUUUCCGCCUUCGGGCCUUCUUUCCUUCCAGGUCGCUUCGCUGCCAUGGUGGCCGCUUUCUGUGAGCGGCUUGGCUGGGCAGACCUGGAGGUCAUCAUUGCCAAGUUCCAGAGCCGCGUGUGGUACGGUGUACGGCCGGAGGUGGUUGCGCUAACGGAAAUCCCGUACGUCAAGGGCCACCGCGCACGGCUGCUGUUCAAGGCGGGGCUGCGCACGCCUGAGGCGGUGGCGGGGUGCGAGCUGGAGAGGCUGAUCGAGAUUCUAUCCGCAGGUAGGGGUGAGGACAGGGUGGGGAGGAGGAGGGGCGGAAUUGGGGGAGGAGGGGUUAUGGCAUUCUCCGUUCUUCUCCGUUCUGGCUUUCCCCUCUUAAAAGAGGAAAGGUAUUAUGUAUUCUUAGUUCCCCCUUCGGUCCGCAUUGCUUCCACUCACAUUCCAGAGUUAAAGAUGAUGAAUUGCAAACCGAUUGCGCGUCACGCAUUGAUUGCCCGUUUUUCCUGUCGUCACCCUCCUUCGCCGCUGCUGGUGGUGGUGUCGGUGCUGGUGCUGGUGCUGCUGGUGCCGGUGCCGGUGCUGGACAGGAGCUCCUCGCAAUCCGGAGCACGAGGAGCAGCAGCGGCGGACGGAGCGCCGUGCCGCCCGAAUGAUCCUGCAGGGCGCCAAGGACCUCGUCAACCAAAAGGUGCGUGCGUGGAGGGGAGGGAAAUGUGAACGAGAGAAUCUGCGGCGGUGGGGGCAAAGCCUCAUCUUUAGCGGCAAUGUCAGCUGCAGCGUCGAAGCGCGAGCCAGCAGAAACGAAGAAGCGUUAGGUCAGUGGUGGAGAGAAGUGAGGCCGGAAAACUUGGGAACGCAGUAGUGUGUGGAGGGAGGGGAGGUGCAAGUAAGUUGGGAGCCAGGACCCCUCCCUCUGAUUGAUCUCUCGCUAACACUCACCAAUCUGACUUGUAUGUACGUAUGUCUUAUUUUUGUCUAUCUAUCUAUCUGUCUGUCUGUCUGUCUGCCUUACAUCUUGUGUUAUCCGUCCGAAGGUACACGAGUUGAAAGAGCAAGCCAAGGCCCUGAGAGCCGCCUUGGAUCCCAGCGCCUCCCAGCAACACUCCGUGCC